GGGGGGCUGGCGCAACGGCAGCGCGUGAGAUUCCAGUUAAAUGGAACAACCUCAAGGUUAUCUGUUCGAAUCAGGUGUCCCUCA